rnacentral:rRNA from 10 species
GACAUUUAGUGGUGGAUUACUGGGUUCCUGCAUCAAUGAAGAACGCAGCUAGCUGUGAGAAUUAAUGUGAAUUGCAGGACACAUUGAUCAUCAACACUUCAAAUGCACUUGCAGCCCAGGUUCCUCCCAGGGCUAUGCCUGUCUGAGCGUCG